ACUAGUGAUUUCCGUAGGUGAACCUGCGGAAGGAUCAUUAACGUUGGUUGGCUUGAAACACACCGUGAACCUUACAAUACCUUGGAGUGGGGUAGACGUGACGUCUUUAAAUGAACGACGAUCAUUGCCAUCGUAUGACAAUGUGUCUUUCAGCCCCGCUCGCUGUUUUUUAACACAACUCAUUGUACAGUCUGAAAUGUUGUAACACAACUCUGGAGUCAGAGGAUGUGAUUGAAAAAAAGUUGAGACAACUUUUAACGGUGGAUCUCUUGGCUCGUGCAUCGAUGAAGAACGCAGCCAGGUGCGAUAAGUAGUGUGAAUUGCAGAAUUCAGUGAAUCAUCGAAUAUUUGAACGCAAAUGGCGCUCUUGGGUUCUCCCAGGAGCAUGUCUGUCUGAGUGUCGGUUUAAAAACUAACGCACACCGGCGUGCCCGGGUUGGUGCGGCGUUGAGGCGUCACUGUCCCCCCACGUAAGACAGUGUCCCUUGAAGUGCAGAGAGACUCGGUCGCGAAUGCAAGUCUUCGUGACAUCCAGAGGCCAAAAUGAUAUUUUCCCUCGUUGGAUGUUUUCACAAAGUUGCUUCGCGGGUCGAAGAGGCGAACUAAUACCAUCUUGACCUCAGAUCAGGCAAGACUACCCGGUGAAUUUAAGCAUAUCA
rnacentral:rRNA from 1 species